UACGUAGGGGGCAAGCGUUGUCCGGAUUUACUGGGCGUAAAGCGCGCGUAGGCGGAAGUGUAAGUCUGGCCUGAAAGCCCCCGGCUCAACCGGGGAGGGCGGCUGGAAACUGUGCUUCUUGAGGGCGAUAGAGGAGUGUGGAAUUCCUGGUGUAGCGGUGAAAUGCGUAGAGAUCGGGAGGAAUACCUGUGGCGAAGGCGGCCUACUGGGCCGGACCUGACGCUGAGACGCGAAGGCGUGGGGAGCGAACGGG
rnacentral:rRNA from 1 species